CUAAAUACCAGAAGCUGCAGGUUUCAAAAUAUGUGGAAAAUUCUUCAACUUACUUGGAACAUUCUCAAAAUACUGUUCAAAAUUUCCCAAAUCAGUUAUUUUUACAGUUUGCAUAUUUUGGCCUAGAUGCAAAUAUAUCAAUUCCUCACUGUGUGCUUAACAUAGUGCAAAAUAGGAGCAAAUGUUUUGUACUUCCAGCUUAAGAAGAAAUCUGUAGGUAAGGC